rnacentral:rRNA from 1 species
GGCGGUAAUACCGGAUAAUGUCUACGGAUCAAAGAUUUAUCGGUAUGGGAGCGGCCUAUCUCCUAUCAGCUUGUUGGUGAGGUAAUGGCUUACCAAGGCUACGACGGGUAGCGGGACUGAGAGGUUGGCCCGCCACAUCGGGACUGAGACACUGCCCGGAGCUCCACGGAGGGCUGCAGUAACGGAUAUUGGGCAAUGGGCGAAAGCCUGACCCAGCAAUGCCGCGUGCAGGAUGAAGCCCCUCGGGGUGUAAACUGCUGUCAGGGGCAAGAAAGUCUUCGGAUUGAUCAGCCCCAAAGGAAGUCACGGCUAACUUCGUGCCAGCAGACGCGGUAAUACGAAGGUGGCGAGCGUUAUUCGGAAUCAUUGGGCUUAAAGGGCACGCAGGCGGGAUAGCAAGUGUCAAGUGAAAUCCCCCGGCUUAACCGGGGAAUUGCUUGACAAACUGCUGUCCUUGAGACAGGCAGGGGUGCAUGGAACUCUUGGUGGAGCGGUGGAAUGCGUAGAUAUCAAGAGGAACGCCGGAGGUGAAGACGGUGCACUGGGCCUGUUCUGACGCUGAGGUGCGAAAGCGUGGGGAGCAAACGGGAUUAGAUACCCCGGUAGUCCACGCCGUAAACGAUGCCUACUAGUUUGUGGGAGUUCUGACGCUCUCACAGCCGCAGCAAAAGUGUUAAGUAGCCCGUCUGGGGAGUACGCCCGCAAGGUUAAAACUCAAAGGAAUUGACGGGGGCUCACACAAGCGGUGGAGCAUGUGGAUUAAUUCGAAGCAACGCGCAGAACCUUACCUGGGUUUGACAUGCUUGGAUGCCUGCCUGGAAACAGGUUAGGCUGCCCUUCGGGGUGAAACUUGCACAGGUGCUGCAUGGCUGUCGUCAGCUCGUGUCGUGAGAUGUCGGGUUAAGUCCUUUAACGAGCGAAACCCUUGCCGUUAGUUGCCAGCGGGUCAUGCCGGGGACUCUAACGGGACUGCCGGUGUUAAACCGGAGGAAGGUGGGGAUGACGUCAAGUCCUCAUGGCCUUUAUGCCCAGGGCUUCACACGUGCUACAAUGGCAGGUACAGAGGGAUGC